GAAACCUCUGGAACUUGAUGAGAAAUGUCAGAACAUGAUGCUUCUCAAGUUCGGAAGAGAGGUAGAUCUAAAGAAACUAGAGAACAUCUCUACCAAUCGUAUAGCUGAAGAGUUGAAGGAAACUAUCGCUAAGAAGGAUGUCAAGUACCCCAGAAAGCUCAAUGAGUGGGAUGUUCAGAUAAACCAAGCAAAACAGCUUCUGCUGACAGCAACACGUGACCACACUAGCCAGAUC